CACACCGAAUCCACUGAACAGAUCUCUUUGGGUUUUGGAAUAACAAAAAAGGGACUGUACAUGGAUAUUUCCAAGCUGGAACCGAGGCACUUUCUAGACGAAGGCAGCCUUAUCCCCAGGAGAUGAUUGAAAAUGUAAGAACUAUUCUGAGCCUGCAGGCCAUAGCCAAAGAGGUACCGGCUGUAUUUUGUCCAUGGGCAGGAGCUUGUGACUGCUGGUCUAGGUCAUUCCAGGUCAACCAGGGGCCUCUCCCAGAGUGAGAACCACUGGUGAUUCCCCAGAGUGGGACCAAGUGAAAGCACUUGGCUGGAUCAGAGGGAUAGGAGCCUGGCUGCUCCUAAAACAAGACACUACUUGCCUUUGAUGUUCAAGUCAUUUAAGAACGCAAUUGCUUCCUACUCAAUUUUUCAAAACCAAAAUAACAAAUACGAUAUGAGCCAUAA
ensembl:lncRNA WWOX-AS1 WWOX antisense RNA 1